ensembl:lncRNA
UAAACAACUGCUCGUGGAGUCACGUCUCCGGCUCCAGUUCCCAGGGAACUGUUCUGCGAUCAUAGAAUAGAGUGGCGUAGUAGAGUAGAACAGAGUACAGUAGAAUAAAGUAGAGUAGAGUAUAAUGGAUUAUAGAACAGUAUAAUAGAGUAGAACAGUAUAAUAGAGUAGAACAGUAUAACAGAGUAGAACAGAACAGUAUAAUAGAGUAGAGUUGAAUAGAAUAGAACAGUAUAAUAGAGUUGAAUAGAGU